AUGCAUCAGAUAGGGAGCGGCAUGUACGUGUCCGGCCGGGCGCCGGACAGGAAGCGGGAGCGGCAUCUGUCGUCGGGGUCGGUGGCCACGCCGCCGUACACUGGCGGGGACCUGUCGCGGUCCGGCGAGCUGGGCCGGAUGUUCGACGUCGCCUCCUCAGCGUGGCAGUCGCAGGCGCCGUCCCCGGCCUCCUCCUCUCGCCGCAGCUCCGGGCACCUGCCGCUGCCGCCUCGGCCUGCCCCGUCGCCGUCGGCGUCCGGACCGCUGUCGCAGCUCUCGCACUCGGGCCUCCUCGUCGGCCCGUCGCCUCCCGCCGCGCCGUCGCCGGCGCGAGGAGGGUCGUGGAGGAAGGCGAGCAGGAGGCGCGCGGCCGCCAUGGAGGAGGCGGCGCCCGUCGUGGCGCGCGGGAGCACGAGGCUCGGCGUCCCGUUCGCGUGCUACGUGCUGCUGCUCGUGGCCGCCGCGGCCGGGGUCGGCGCCGGCUUGUUCUUCCUCGUGGCGUGGCGCCGGUGGGAGGCGCUCGCGGCGGCAGGUGGCGCCGUGGCGGCAGCCGCGGCCGUGCUCUCCUGGAACUUUCUGCGGUGCGCGGCGGAGGCGGAGCGGUUCUUCCGGCUGUCCCCCGACACGGUGUUCGAGCAGGGGGACAUGCCCAUCGGCGAGCUCGUCAAGAUCACCGGGCAAGUGACCUGCGGCCGGGUGCCCGUGGGAGCCUGCUUCCACGACGCCGCCCGGUGCGUCUUCACGUCGGUCCGGAUGUACGGCCGCCGUGGGUGGGCGUGGACCUGCUGCUGCUCCCGGUGGCAGCUCAGGCACUCCGAGGCGCGGUCGACGAACUUCUACAUCUCCGACAGGAACUCCGGGAGGAGGUUCUACGUGCGCGCCGGGGAGGGCGCCAAGAUCACCUGGAUGAUCAACCGGAAAACCAUCAGCUUCGAUGGCGGCGACGGCAAGGGCAAGGGCGCGUCGCGGAGCCUCAAGAGCUGGGCGGCGAGCACCGGCGUGUCCUGCGACGGCGCCGUGCGAGUCGAAGAAGGGUUCAUCAGGGAGGGAGACACGGCGAGCGUGAUCGGCGUGCUCAAGAGGCACCACGCCUUCGACGUCGUCGACGCGCCGGACGGCGUGGUGGCCACCGGCUGCCAGCCGGCGAGGUGCAUGUUCCCCGUGCUCGUCGAGGGGCUGGUGCUCAUCGGCAGCGACGACCCCGACGAGGGCGUCUACAUGGUCUAA
rnacentral:rRNA from 1 species